rnacentral:lncRNA from 1 species
GUUGAGUCCUCCUCACUUCUGAUCUAUGAUCCUGGGAGUAUUAGAGUACCUGGGAGUGGAGCUUCCUUUGGGUGUUGUGGGACUGGCUGCAGAGUUUAAUGAGACAGCAUUUCUCUGUGUAGUCCCAGCUGUCCUUGAACUCACUCUAUAGUCUCAGGCUGGCCUUGAAUUCAGAGAUUUGCCUGCUUCUACCUCCCAAGUGCUGUGAUCAAGAGCAUGCAUCAUCAAAUAAUUUUAAAAUCUCAACUUCAGCAAACUUACUUGCUAUAAUUUACACUCUUCCCUAAAAUGCCCUCCUAGAAAAUUAACAUUGAUUAAACUAUAUUACUGAGAAAAAUCAAACAAUACUAUUUACAUGAUUUGCUGAAUUGUAAGUGUGAUUUUUUUUUUUUUUAAUUUUCAAAAUACUAAGAAUCUAUCUCAAGGCCUUGCCAGGCAUGUGCUGGUCCACAGAACUAUGUUCUUAGCCCAUGUAUGACACAUGAAACAGGGAUCAAAUAAAGACAUGUCAACUAAAUUUGAAAUUUACAUUCUCUUUAUGGACAGCUUUAACGUCUUUGAGGCCUGCUCAAAACCCAUUUUAGAGAUUAGCCACGGAACUGGGGAGAUGGAUCAGCAGAUGAGAGCAUUUGCUGCUCUUGCAGAAAACCUGGGUUUGAGCUACAACAGUCUUAUGGCAUCUCACUACUGUCAGUAACUCUAGUUCCAGAGGAUACAAUGCUCUCUCCUGGAUUCCAUGGGCACCAGGCACAUAUGUGGUACACAGACAUACACAGACAUACACGAAUGCAGGCAAAACUCUUACAAAUAAAAACAAAAUGAAUACACCUUAAUGUUCAGCACAGCAGUGGACAUCAGGUUUGCCUGAAAAUGAAGUCUGUGAGCUGCCAUAUUUGAUUUGCCCAUGGCUCCACCAAAUGGAGCUUUAAGAUCUGCCAGGUCUUCCCAGCUGUUUCUUUAUCAGACAGUUUUCUGACAGGAUGCCAUGAAUUGUCAUGCCUUUCUGUUUGAGUAAUACAAGUUUCUCCUUGUGCAAAGACUAACAUGUCUUUUAAAUCAAUGUCAGCUGAACCUGACAUCAAAUGCAGAAAAAGAAAAGCCAUCCAUUUUCUCUCACGGUAUACAGACUCAUGUACCUUGUUCAAAGUCCUUGCUCCCACAGACACUCACAGUGAGUCUCCAGAAAUUCAAACGCUAAUUAGACAGUGUUAGUUUAUUUCUACUUUGACUUUUAAGCAAUGGGAUGAAAAUAAGGGACAUUUUUCUUAUGUAUUGAAAAAAAUGAAAGGUGGGAUUAUAAAGUGUACAACAUUAAAAGCCACCAAAAUGCUGGGUGGUGGUGGCACAGGUCUUUAAUCCCAGCACUUGAGAGGCAGAGGCAGAAGGAUCUUUGAGUUCAAGGCUAGCCUGGUCUACAGAGCAAGUUCCAGGACAGCCAAGGCUACAGAGAAACGCCCAUCUUGAAAACCAAAAACAAACAGCAACAACUCAGCAAAGCUUCCCAUUAGGACUGUCCCUUUACCCUGUGUCACCAUGAGUGUGACAAGUGACUUUCAAAGCUCUUCAUUUGCCCUCAGGAGCUCUACUCAUGUGCUGAUUUAAUAUUUCAAUAGACACUCUGUUAUUUUAAUUAAUUUGGUGUUUGUUAAUUACCCUACAGAAACAAUUCUUAAAGACCUGUUUGUAAAUUAGUACUAAGACCUAGGUAGAAGUUGACAGCAAACAAAAAUACUUAUAGAGGUGGGAAAACAGACAUUUUAAAAUCAAGUUUGGUUUGUCUCUCAGAUUCAGAAAUAGAUGUUUGCUGGAAAUAUUGUAUUUUUAUACAUUAUUUUAUCAAGAGAAAAAUCUCUAUUUGUAAAAAAUAUAUUUCGGAAACAUUUGUUUUAUGCAACAAUUUAAUUUCUUCUGAGCUAAUUUCUAUUGGUAAAACACAAUUGAUGGGAUAUUUUUUAAAACUUCAAAAGGUCUAGGGGAAAAUAAUUUCAAACUGAGAAGUCUCCAGAAGCUAAACCGUUCAAGAGCUGUGAAUUUGAGAAUAAUAUGGUGUGUGUAGUAGUAUGUGCAUGUGUGUGUUAGUAUGUGUAUAUUACUUGAGAUUGAACUACAGGUCUUUUAUGAAAUGGAGAAGUACUCUACCCCUGAUCAAUAUUCACAUGCCAUGAUGCUUUAAAAUGUCCAUUCCCCAAGUAUCUAUCACCCACAUGGCUUUGGUUUAAUAGUUUUCAGAGACUUUAGUCCU